UGGGCAGGCAACUUGAAUCGUUAAGCAGAGGACUGGGAAUCAAGAUUCCAAUCCAAAUCACUGAAGGGAACAAAAGGCCAGAGCCACCUAUUCAAGCUGCUAAGUUUGCAUCAGAGGGUGGAAUCACAUUGAGGCAGCACAUUCCAAUAUUUAACCAUUGGAAGGAAUACAAGAAGAGAGAGAAUGAACCUAUAAUAAGAAACUACAUUGGCAAAGUUACUGCUAAUUUCACGGUGGACAGUGAGAGCAAGACAGUGGAAGAUGCAUGUCUAGACAUGCUAAAGAGUGGACAGCGCCAAAUGAGGUAUAGACUGAAAUAGAAGUACUUCAAUGGGAUACCUGCUAAUCAAGUGAGGACUACAUCACCUAUUCCAAGCAUGUCUGACAACGACUGGAGAAAGUUGGUGGAGAAGUGGUCUACCCCAAAUCACAAGG